UCAGUUGGUUUUCCAUCUGAAAAUUUUUGAUAUUUUCUUAGCAGCUCAUCUAACAUCAGACACUGGGUCUAAAAAUCACUGAGAUCAAACUUGAGUUGUUGCUCAUUUUCAACGGGUUUUGUAUUUGAUUAACAUUAAAAACCCUCUGGCCAUAGACCUCAAAUAAAUACCCCCUGCUGAUAUUAGCAGUAAAUGCAUAUAAUUUUAAUCAAGAUAAAAGUUAUUCUUGGGGAAGCUGGACAUUGAACACUGCAUCAACUGCUCAUAGCACUGCAUCUUUGGGCCCUUAAGCUUUCCUCAUUUUUUGCACGUUGCAGCACCAGCCUCUUCCUUACACUCUGUUGAGCACCAUGGGCACAAACUUUCCCUUACUGUCAGAGCAGGACCCCGCUGCCUUGCUGGUGGUGUGGUGCUCUGGUAUCCAAAGGGCUGUAUUGGCCAGGAGUCCAACCAUGUGAACACUUCGGGUUUUCUGUCAAUCUCUCCAAGAACAGGUGCCCAUCAUUUCAGUUUUCAAAACACCACUGCAUUCACCUGUUUAAUUCUGCACACCCAAUUUGUCUCUAGUUGCUUGCUUUCACUUAUACAUGUCUACUUCCUUCCUCCUGUUCUGUAUUCCCAGGUUUUGAACCGCUCUGAUGGAAGUCAGUAUCGCAUCUCUGAGUAACAGAAACUUCUCCUUUUAAUCUGUGCCACCAGUUUCCUUGUGAUUUUGCUUUUGGAUGUUGUGUUGAGGGACGUGGUUUAGCGAGAACCAUUGGUGAUGGGCGAAUGGUUGGACUGGAUGAUCCUGUGGGUCUUUUCCAGCCUUAGUGAUUCUAUGAUUCUAUGAUUUCCAUCACAGACACGUAACACUUGCAUCUGUUCACUUCUGCAUGGAAUUGUUGUAUUUAUAAAACAGUCCAUGCAAAGCUACACACGCUUUGACUGCAGUGCCCCACUUCUAUGGACUGCCUCUAUCUCUACAAAGCAGUUUGUAUAUCACCCAGCCAUUUCUCUGAUGGUAAAUUCACAGUCAUUUCAUUUCUUGUAACUUCUUUCUCCCUUCUCACCCUCACCCCUGCCUCAUGAGCUCAUUUUUGGUUUAAAUCAAUGGCUUUUUUU
ensembl:lncRNA